rnacentral:rRNA from 1 species
AGAUUGAACGCUGGCGGCAUGCCUUACACAUGCAAGUCGAACGGCAGCACGGGAGCAAUCCUGGUGGCGAGUGGCGAACGGGUGAGUAAUACAUCGGAACGUGCCCAAUCGUGGGGGGAUAACGCAGCGAAAGCUGUGCUAAUACCGCAUAAGAUCUACGGAUGAAAGCAGGGGAUCGCAAGACCUUGCGCGAAUGGAGCGGCCGAUGGCAGAUUAGGUAGUUGGUGAGGUAAAGGCUCACCAAGCCUUCGAUCUGUAGCUGGUCUGAGAGGACGACCAGCCACACUGGGACUGAGACACGGCCCAGACUCUACGGAGGCAGCAGUGGGGAAUUUGGACAAUGGCGAAGCCUGAUCCAGCCAUGCCGCGUGCAGGAUGAAGCUGGUGUAACUGCUUUGUACGAACGAAAAGUCUACGUUUCUAAUAAAGUAGGAUACAGUAGACGGUAACGUAACGAAUAAGACACCGGCUAACUACGUACG